UCUGGACUGAGCUGAGGGCUGAGAGUAUAGCUUGGUUGACAAUGCUGCGGACAGAUGUGACAAAGAAACAGUAAAGACAGACAUUUCUUUAGAAUAAGAAAAACAGGAGGGCAUGGAGGGAAGGAGAGGGAAGAGGCAGUACAGAUGGAGACCCUGACAGGAAGAAAGGUUCACUGGUUGGACUCCCAGAGUCUCAGAUGUAUAACCUGCUGCAUUUAAAAAGCCAAAGACAAGCUGGGCGAUUAUGCUGGACAACAAGCCCUAAAAGAUUUAUUGGCUCCUGCAGAAACAGCCUUUAAAUCACCUGAGACCUGUAAUUACAUUGGGCACGCCAAGUAAAUGCAUCUCUUCCAACACCUGCGAGUCAAGUUCACCCUUGGCUUCCUCUCGCUGGCAGAGUAUCCGCUCCCUCAUUUACUGACCACCUAAUAGGAGUCACUCACAAUGCCAGGCCCUGGAGAUCCAAGGAGAAUACAGACAACAUUCUCUCCCUGAAGAUCGAUGAGGUAUUGAGAUGGACAGACAUGCACAGUGCGGUUAGCAGUCAGAGCACUGAGGACGGAGCUUCUAGUGCUGCGGUGAGGGCGGGGGCAUGAGCAGGGCUGGAGAAUGAACCGCUUCAAAGAAACCGAUGUGGUUGAGAUGGAGUGAGCAUUCAAAGGGAAUUUCAUGGUGCCACCCAUUGGCACUUCAGCCCUGCUAUAAUGAAAAUGCCAGAGACUGAGCGGCUUAACCAACGAACAUUUACGUCUCCAGUUCUGGAAGCUGAGAAGUCCAUGAUCAAGGAGCUAACAGAUCCAGUGUCAGAGCCUUGAAUGUGUGCCACGUGGGUGGCAGCUACAAAUCUCUCUCCUGCCACUUGGCUCUCCACCAUGCUGCAGCAUUCACGUGACUCUCCAGGAUUCGUCUCCCUCUGCCUUUUGUCAGACGGUCUUCGAUUCCUACAUUGACUGAACCAUUUCCAGACUCAGGCCCCAAAGAAGAUCCACAAAGGGCACUGCUGGGCUGUUCUCCCCCAUCCUGGUCUUGACCAGGAACCAAGAAACCACUCCACCACCACCAGACUUUUCUAACUCCUCCGGUAUUUCCAGAGACAAGGGUUGCCUCCUUCUCUCAACCUGGAAGCCACCAGAAGACUUCCUUCCAGCUCUGCAUCCCCUUGGACGCUUCGUGAGAUCAAAGAGCACUGAGAUGCACAUGCUUCCCAGUAUUCACUCUGAAAAUAUUUCCCCACAGGGUUGGGUUCCACCACCAGGCUCUUUAUCAGGAGACAUGGCCCCAAAUGGGUGAAGGGCAGUGGGAGGUCCAGGCUUCCAGUUGUGGAAAGGAUAAGUCACAGGGAUGAAAGGUACAGCAUAGGGAAUAUGGUCAAUGGCAUUCUAAUAGCCUUGUAUAGUGACAGAUAGUAACAAAGCUUGUGGUGAGCAUAGUACAAUGUUUAGAGCUGUCUACUAGAUUGUAUGCCUACAACUAACGCAACACUGUAUGUAAACUAUCCGUCAGUUAGAGAGACAGAGAGAGAGAUGGCUCAAGUUGGCAUAGAUGUGAGGCAUGUGUACAUAGCCAUGCAAAAGUGACAGUUCGUUUGUCUAGCUCAUUUUUUUUUUUUACUGUAGACAAAGUAUCUAGAAAUGGCUCAGGCAUCACAUUAUUGUCAAAGCUCUUGUGUAAAAGACUGCCACAUUCUUCCUCAAUGACAGUUUAUGAAAGACAGCAGAGAAUUAUGUGCUCGAUGUAUGGUGCCUGGAUGCAUACAAACAUAUAACUGGAGGUUCUUUCUGUUGAUGGAGAGGCAUCCUUUUCCAUAAAGGAAUAGUCUAGAGUAAAGGGAAAAAAUUACUAAUGUAGUCCAUGUGGAGACAGUUUCUCUGUUUGAUUAUAUUUUACCUGGUGUUUUAUUAGUCACCCCCAAGAUGUUUCACCCAUGUCUUAGCAUUUCAAGGUGCUGGCCCACAACACCCUCACCUUCUCUUCCUCGUGGACCUGGGAGGCCAGCCUUCCUUCACAUGUUCUGGAUGAGGUGUCUGAGCACUAUGGCAAACACUGGUGCUAUUUACAGAGAUGCCUUUCUUCUCCUUGGGCACACAGCUAGACUGCAUCUGCCAGCCUCUCGUGAAGUUAGCUGUGGUCACGUGACUGAGUUCUAGUCAAUGCAAGAUGAGCUGAGGUGACGUGAGCCACCUGCCAGUCCUGGCCCAUAAAAACCUCACACAUCUCUCUUCCCUUCCAGCUGAUGGGAUGAUGGGAUGGUGCCAUCAAAGCCACAUGGGAAACGCCAGUCUCUAAAAUGACUUGUGUGGAGCAGAAACACACACACGUACAAUCUCCCUGCUGAUCUGGAAUCUUCCUGAACUAUUCUGUGAAUCUGAAAUAAAUGUCCAAGUGUUAAGCUAUUACCCAUUUGAGUCUGUUCCCACAGUCUACCCUAGCCAACCUAGCACAAAAAUUUGUACCGUGAAGUGGGAUGCGGCCAUUUUCAAAAGACUAAAAUUGGGGGUGCCUGGGUGGCUUAGUUGGUUAAGUGUCUGCCUUCAGCUCAGGUCAUAAUCCUGGACUCCCUGGAUCGAGUCCCCACAUCGGACUCCCUGCUCGGUAAGGAGCUUGCUUCUCCCUCUGCCCCUCAUUCUGCUCUUAUGCUCUCUCACUCUCUCUCUCAAAUAAAUAAAUAAAAUCUUUAAAAAAAAAAAGACUAAAAUUGUGCAGCAUUGGCUGAAUCAGGCAACAGUGGUGGGGUAACACGUGUAGCAGGAGGAAAGAUGGAGAUUCGUGUGGGUGUGAUGUGGAGGCAGACCACACGCUUGCUGAGUCUCUGACUCUAAAGAACUUACUAGAACAAUCCAGAGUGACAGUGUGUAUUGGCUGUUGCAGGGCUUAGAAGGUAUUACAGUACUAUAAAAGAGAGAUGAGCUCAAGUGUGUCUGGUUUACAAGCAGAGAGUGAAAGCUAUAAAGUUCAGAGAUGAAGGGCUUUGAGGUGUUAGAAAGACCUACUGCUUCUGGACCCUAAAUAGUAAGCGACAAGACCAAAAAACGUUCUGUACAGCACAAUCUCAUUAGGACUCUCCAGUAAACCAAUGGGGCUUAGACCUGUGGCAAAGGUCACAUUGAGAAUGUUGCCUUCUCAAGCCCAUUGAUUCCAUGGGUCUCAAUAUAGGUACAUUACUUUGAGAAAUAGGAAAGUAUAGGUUGGGAAGCAAAGAAAUUAAGCAGACUUGGGGAAUAUGUUUGGGGAAAAAUAAUAGAAGAUGUUGUUUCUGGCACCUACAACUGCCUAGAAGCAAAUUGAAGAGAAGCCUGCCGUGCUCUUGAAGGAAUUGUCAGACAAUGAGCCUGACCCACAAGCCUGUGAUUGGAAAUCUACACAGAGGCCUCAAAGUUGCAAGAGUAGGAUGAGUUCAGUGCAAGUGAUGCUCCCCGCCAAGAGCUGCAGCGUCUUCUGUGCCCACCAGAGAUGGGGCCUCAGAGAAAAAUGGCCAACUAAGGAGCUCUCAGCACCUCCAGAGCACAGAGUCUUCACAAAGGUCUGCCUAGCAGAGGCCCAGCCUUACUACGGGCUGACGACUACUGGAUGUUUCCCUCCUUUCUGGGAACUUUCAUUGUACUUAACGGCGUUCGAUACACCAUAUACCAGGUGUAAUGUCAAGUGUUGUUCUUUUCUCAGGUGAUUUGUCAACAUCCACGUGCAGGAAGCAAGGAGGGUAUUUUUAGUCCCAGUUUACUAGUGAAGCAACCAGAUCGAGAGAGGUUAUGACCAUGGCUGUCGUUUUGAUACCACACCCAAAUAUCUUGUCGGUUCGAUUACGGGGGGGGGUGCAGCUAAAAAUGGCCAUUUUCAACUAGCAACAUCGGUGGGCUACGCCAAAAGAUUCUCUGAAUUCAGGCAAUGAUCUAAUCAAACCGCAACAAUGACACCAAAACAUCCUGGCUGGCUGACUGGCUGGAUUUUGGACAGAGUUCACCACAUUGAUGCGCCACCAGAAGUCUCAGAAUCAUAGCUGAAGAUGAGGUUUAUCUCCAAAAGCCCCAAGCCAAGGCCAAUUUGCUCAAUUCAUUCUUCAAAUCAAUCAGUGUGAUGAGAGUAAAGCUAUCUCAAAUUAAAUUUCACCUCCCAUCCCUGCGCAUGCCUGGGGAAAGUAUUGUUCUCUUCUGUUCUUCUCCACCCCCAGUGGCUGCUUGAAGGAACCGUCCCGACAGACGGAGUCUGAGGAGAGCUGUGAAUUCGGCAAUGUGUGUUUCCUGUGUCUUUCCACUUUUUCUUGUGCCCGCAGAACGAGUUACCCUCCUGUCCUUGUAUCCCUGUGGCGGCCUUAUAAAGAAAUUCAAGUAAAUACAUGUCCUUGGCGGACCGAUUUUAUUCUCAUAAUUACCUUUUGGGCAAGAAACAGAUCCUUUUAGCUGAGCAACUAGUCUGAACGGUAAUUAAAGUUGACAUCAAGCAUUUGAACAGAAAUACGGUCUAAUACAAAAGGGCAAAAAUUCUUCAGAGAGAUUUAGUGGAAGGUUAAACUCACUGAGCUAAUGGUGAUAAGUGGCAGUGAGAUGCUAGACUGUGGGACGGGAGGACAGAGAACCGCACUCCAGGACAGGCGCUGUCCUUCACCGGGUUGGCCACGAGCAAUAGUCAAGUCCAGCAAAGGGGCAUCACCUUACACGU